GUUGACUCAAGAGAGACUUGAAGAGGCUGACUAAGAGGUCUUGUCUUUCCUUUGUCUUAGCCUAGCCUAUAGCUUUUCACUGAGUCCCUUUUUAAGGUAUGUUAUAGGAAACUGCUGUUUACAACCAGGGCAACAGACAACAGCCAGAAGAGGGUCAGAGACAAAGGAAGCAGUUGUGUACUUCCCUGUAUGGUAGGUACUCUCAGCCUUAAAACGUACUGUAGAAGUCUUGAAGACCAAACUUCAACCUCCCAGCAUUGCAGGACCAGCAGGGCCACACAGGACAGACUAUUCUGUGAUGGGUGAGACUACAUGCCCUGGAGCUAAAGAAAUCAUCUUGACCCAAACAGAUCUCCUAAUCUUCAGCACACCUUUGCACAAGCAGAAUGGAAACAGUGAUGCACCAGACCACCCCUUGACCAGGACUGUUUAGUCAGAAGUGUUCUCAUCUCUACGCUAUAUAAACUAAAGGACAUGCCUGUACCCACAGAUGAACUUGGCCUACUGGACCCUUAUCUGUUUCUCUUCCCAACAUUGGCCGAAAAUAUUCCACCAAUAUUCAUUAAUUGGUAAUUAUAAGACUGACGGAGCUGGGCUUUUGCCCUCAAGACACAAUCUCACCUAAAACAUCCUCACUCUCAUUCACAUUCUACCUGGGCCUUAUAAUCCCCUUUGUGAUAAAAGUGUCAAGUCCUUCCUGGCCACUUUAUCUUCCUAGGAAAUAGCCAACAUUAUGGUAAGUGU